rnacentral:rRNA from 1 species
CCUACGGGAGGCAGCAGUGGGGGAUAUUGCACAAUGGGGGGAACCCUGAUGCAGCGACGCCGCGUGGGUGAAGAAGCGCCUCGGCGCGUAAAGCCCUGUCAGCAGGGAAGAAAAUGACGGUACCUGAAGAAGAAGCCCCGGCUAACUACGUGCCAGCAGCCGCGGUAAUACGUAGGGGGCAAGCGUUAUCCGGAUUUACUGGGUGUAAAGGGGGCGCAGACGGCGAUGCAAGCCAGGAGUGAAAGCCCGGGGGCCAACCCCGGGACUGCUCUUGGAACUGCGUGGCUGGAGUGCAGGAGGGGCAGGCGGAAUUCGUGGUGUAGCGGUGAAAUGCGUAGAUAUCAGGAGGAACACCGGUGGCGAAGGCGGCCUGCUGGACUGCAACUGACGUUGAGGCCCGAAAGCGUGGGGAGCAAACAGGAUUAGAUACCCCAGUAGUC